UGAAAAUCAUAUUGUGGUCUA
rnacentral:siRNA from 1 species